GACGAACGCUGGCGGCGUGCUUAACACAUGCAAGUCGAACGGAAAGGCCCUGCUUUUGUGGGGUGCUCGAGUGGCGAACGGGUGAGUAACACGUGAGUAACCUGCCCUUGACUUUGGGAUAACUUCAGGAAACUGGGGCUAAUACCGGAUAGGAGCUCCUGCUGCAUGGUGGGGGUUGGAAAGUUUCGGCGGUUGGGGAUGGACUCGCGGCUUAUCAGCUUGUUGGUGGGGUAGUGGCUUACCAAGGCUUUGACGGGUAGCCGGCCUGAGAGGGUGACCGGCCACAUGGGGACUGAGGUACGGCCCAGAGUCCUACGGGAGGCAGCAGGGGGGAAUAUUGCACAAUGGGCGGAAGCCUGAUGCAGCAACGCCGCGUGCGGGAUGACGGCCUUCGGGUGGUAAACCGCUUUCGCCUGUGACGAAGCGUGAGUGACGGUAAUGGGUAAAGAAGCACCGGCUAACUACGUG
rnacentral:rRNA from 1 species